rnacentral:misc_RNA from 1 species
UCCGGUUUGUCACCGGCAGUCUCCCAUGAGUCCCCAACUGAAUGCUGGCAACAUGGAACGGGGGUUGCGCUCGUUGCGGGACUUAACCCAACAUCUCACGACACGAGCUGACGACAGCCAUGCACCACCUGUGAUGGUGUCCCGAAGGAAAACCGUGUUUCCACGGCGGUCACCAACAUGUCAAGUCCAGGUAAGGUUCUUCGCGUUGCGUCGAAUUAAACCACAUGCUCCGCUGCUUGUGCGGGCCCCCGUCAAUUCCUUUGAGUUUCAGGCUUGCGCCCGUACUCCCCAGGUGGGAUACUUAUCACUUUCGCUUAGCCACUCAGGUUGCCAACGGCUAGCAUCCAUCGUUUACGGCGUGGACUAC